UCGACGGCAGCGCGUCCUUCGGGAUGGCGGCGAGUGGCGAACGGGUGAGUAAAGCAUCGGAACGUGCCCGGUAGUGCGGGAUAGCUCGGCGAAAGCCGGAUUAAUACCGCAUGAGAUCCGUGGAUGAAAGCAGGGGACUCGCAAGGGCCUUGCGCUACUGGAGCGGCCGAUGUCAGAUUAGGUAGUUGGCGGGGUAAAGGCCCACCAAGCCUGCGAUCUGUAGCUGGUCUGAGAGGAUGAUCAGCCACAUCGGAACUGAGACACGGUCCAGACUCCUACGGGAGGCAGCAGUGGGGAAUUUUGGACAAUGGGCGAAAGCCUGAUCCAGCCAUGCCGCGUGCAGGAUGAAGGCCUUCGGGUUGUAAACUGCUUUUGUACGGAACGAAAAGGUCUUUUCUAAUAAAGAAGGCUCAUGACGGUACCGUAAGAAUAAGCACCGGCUAACUACGUGCCAGCAGCCGCGGUAAUACGUAGGGUGCAAGCGUUAAUCGGAAUUACUGGGCGUAAAGCGUGCGCAGGCGGUUAUAUAAGACAGAUGUGAAAUCCCCGGGCUCAACCUGGGAACUGCAUUAGUGACUGUAUAGCUAGAGUGCGGCAGAGGGGGAUGGAAUUCCGCGUGUAGCAGUGAAAUGCGUAGAUAUGCGGAGGAACACCGAUGGGCGAAGCAAUCCCCUGGGCCUGCACUGACGCUCAUG
rnacentral:rRNA from 1 species